ensembl:misc_RNA 7SK 7SK RNA
GGUUGUGAGGGAGAUCUAGAUGUGACAUCUGUCACUCCACUGAUUGCCAGGGUUGAUUUGGCUGAUCUGGCUGGCCAAGCAGGUGUUCCAUUCUCCCUCACAGCUCCAUGUGCAUCCUUCCUGAAGCUGUGUUCAAAGAGGAUGACCAUCCCCAACAGAGGAAGACUGGUCUUCGGUCAAGAGUAAAGACGUAGCUAGAACCUCCAAACAAGCUCUCAAGAAACCCUGCCAUCCACCACAGGAUACACUCUAUCCUCCUGA